rnacentral:rRNA from 1 species
GACGAACGCUGGCGGCGUGCUUAACACAUGCAAGUCGAACGGAAAGGCCCUGCUUUUGUGGGGUGCUCGAGUGGCUACCGGGUGAGAAACACGUGAGUAACCUGCCCUUGACUUUGGGAUAACUUCAGGUAACUGGGGCGAAUACCGGAUAGGAGCUCCUGCUGCAUGGUGGGGGUUGGAAAGUUUCGGCGGUUGGGGAUGGACUCGCGGCUUAUCAGCUUGUUGGUGGGGUAGUGGCUUACCAAGGCUUUGACGGGUAGCCGGCCUGAGAGGGUCACCGGCCACAUUGGGACUGAGAUACGGCCCAGACUACUACGGGAGGCAGCAGUGGAGAAUAUUGCACAAUGGGCGGAAGCCUGAUGCAGCAACGCCGCGUGCGGGAUGACGGCCUUCGGGUUGUAAACCGCUUUCGCCUGUGACGAAGCGUGAGUGACGGUAAUGGGUAAAGAAGCACCGGCUAACUACGUG